rnacentral:rRNA from 1 species
CCUACGGGAGGCUGCAGUGAGGAAUAUUGGUCAAUGGGCGGGAGCCUGAACCAGCCAAGCCGCGUGAGGGAAGAAGGUACAGCGUAUCGUAAACCUCUUUUGUCAGGGAACAAAGGCGGGGACUAGUCCCCGGAUGAGGGUAUCUGAAGAAAAAGCAUAGGCUAACUCCGUACCAGCAGCCGCGGUAAUACGGGGGAUGCGAGCGUUAUCCGGAUUUAUGGGGUUGAAAGGGUGCGCAGGCGGCCUGUUAAGUCAGCGGGAAAAGCCCGGGGCGCAACCCCGGCGAGCCGUUGAAACUGGCGGGCUGGAGUUGGAGAGAAGUACGCGGAAUGCGCGGUGUAGCGGUGAAAGGCUUAGAUAUCGCGCAGAACCCCGAUUGCGAAGGCAGCGUACCGGCUCCACACUGACGCUGAGGCACGAAAGCGUGGGUAUCGAACAGGAUUAGAUACCCCAGUAGUC